AAACAGAUUAUUGCAUCUAACUCUCCAUGGAUUUCCUGUAAACCCAUCUCAGAUUCAGUGGCUAAUUUGCCCGUUUCUCGCUUGGCUAGACAGCAAGGGCAAGUUGCAGUCUCUGUUUCGUUCAAUCCUUCGGGAAAUUUUGAUCUUUCUUUAUAUGAUGAUGAAGAAGAUUCCGCUUCAUUUUCACCUCCANNNNNNNACUGAGGGUCGAUUUGAUGUUGUUAUCAAUAACGAUGUUAUUGGCCGUCUUGAUUUAUCCC
rnacentral:misc_RNA from 1 species